GAGACAAGCAUAUGACUACUGGCAGGAUCAACCAGGUAGCGUUCCUUCGCGACGCCGACGCCCGCAUGAAGCCCGACGGGCCGUGAGGCCGCGGGCUCAAGACGGGCACGGCGGUUGUUCGCGUCGAGGGACAAAAUGCGUUGUUCGGGCGAACGGAGUCUCGUAACGAGACCCCACGCCCGCGCACAACGUUCCGCAUCCGAGAGAACGGGCAUAGCACACCGUGGGCCGAGGCAGCCAAGCGACUGGGCGAGGCUUGCCGGGGACACGGGGCGUGCCUGACGUCCACCCCGCAACCCACGAGGGCUGGGGGCGGAGAGGGACGAACGGGACCGUCGGAUUCCUUUCGAUAGGUAAGCAACACAGGAUACCGAA
rnacentral:misc_RNA from 1 species